GGUGGUUCUCAGGUGACGCACCCUGGAAUUGGGCUCCUUUCUCUCUGGUUCCAGGUGCAUCACCCAAGAACUGCA
rfam:Myotis davidii contig139873, whole genome shotgun sequence.